GGUGAGAUGGCCGAACGGUCUAAGGCGCCAGACCAAGGUGCGGAUCCUGCACGUGGCGCUGACAUCUGGUCUCUUCGGGGGCGGGAGUUCGAAUUUCCCUCUCACCA